CCAGUGAAAGAAGUGAGGCGGUUCUCUAAAGAACAGAAGAAACGAGUUGGGGUCACCUGUCCAAACAUUGACACACAAUACAAUGUCCACAUGGGAGGUGGCCGACAUAAUGGUGGCCUUGUACCGUACCCCUGCAAAAUCCCAUCGGUGGUACAUGAGUUUGUUUUGGCAGAUGGCUAAUAAAGCCCUAAACUAUGGAUGGCUUCUUUAUCGCAGAGAUGCAAAGAGUCUGGGUGAGGUAAAGCACAAGAAGCUGAAGACAUUCAGGCUGGAAGUUGCAUAUGCACUCAUUCAUGCUGGAAAAAAGAAGGGAAGGCCCUCAAAGCUAAGAGAUGAUGAUGUUCCCACCAAAACAUCCAGCGGCCAGCAACACCAAGACCUGUGGGUGACAUCCGGGCUGAAAAAUGACCCUUUUCUUGGACAAACAAACCAGGAGAGCUUUGUACCUGGCGGCAGCUGCACACUUGAUUCACCAUUACAGAUGAACCAAUGGGAAACCCGGCCGGCGGCAUUCGGGAACACAUCUGCAGGCUACAGUUACGUUUUUCAUGUUGGUCUGUCCACAGAAUGCUCAAUGACCAGGUUGCCUGGUAACAGAAGAUUCCUUGUUCUCGCAGUGUUGCUGAAACUACUUAUUCAUAAGCAUCAAACACAAUCAACAGAUGGUUGAUUUCAUCUGGUCUCGUUUCACACAUUCUUUUCGACCUAAUUACGUAUGUGUGCAGCUGUACUGAUUAAUCAGACUUGUGUUUCAGGUCAGCAACUUUCUACAGGUUAGAGGAAACAGGCUUCUAAUUGCUUGAGGGGAAAUGAAAAAUGGCCAUCUUUUAGUUCCAGAAAAACAUCGCUGCAGCUCCAUCCCUCAUUGGCGCCAGCUGUUUUUCUGUCUACAGAUUUUCACAAUGAUGAGAUGUACGAAGACCAGUGAAGAUCAUGGAGAAGGGGAGUUAUGUUAACACUACGUCUAAUCUAGAUCCAGCUCUCAAAUUGGAAUGCGGAAUGGGAUUGCGAGGAGGCGGCGGUGGAGACAGUGCCGAUUUCGGCAUGAAAUAUCAACGUCCGGGAAGGUCACAACAGUCAUGGCCUCAUCUGUCAGCUGGGUUUUCAGCUUCAGUCUAAUGCUGGCCCUUCAUAGCAAGCCUUAGGCAACAAAUGAACCUCCAUCAAUCAUGCUCACCGAAGCUUUAGCCGUUCCUGUUGCAUCAAAGAUAUGAAGGAGGUGCGAAUCAGGAAACGAUGACCCUUCCACCUGUGGCUGAGACCCUAUUCGCAAAAAUGACAGGAGAAAUGGAACCAGUUUUGCACCAUAUUGCUAAUAAAGAGCCGUAUGAAAUAUUUAUGCCAUAAAGGGCUACAUUUAACCGUUGAUCAAACUGCGUCAUGAUACAUUUGCAAGUAAUAGUCGUGCUGUGUCGUGGAAUGUGUGCUGUGUGUUAUUUAGAGGUUGGGAGAUGAAAAACACUGCUUGGGGAGGUAGAAACAGCCUGGGCAAUAACCCUUUUUAUUAGUGCAAUUUAUCAGAUGUGUCACAUGACUUCUUUUAUACCUUUUCUUUCAAUACCUUCCGCCUAAACAUCAAAAGGCAAGAGUAUGUGGGUAA